GACGACACUGAUAUUGACAUCAUGAUUCGUGAAUGCAAAUUUUAUGGAAAAAAUGAGAUGCAGCUAGGACAAUGUAGGAUAUCUUCAAUCUAGGACACUAAAGACAAGAUGGGAGUUUCUGGAAAGCCAAGCAUACAUAACCAAAGGAUAUUUUCAUAGAAUGGACUUCUGUAGGCCAAAAAAAUAAAGACAACUUCAAGAAGAGUGACAUUUAGAAGAAAGAACAUUCAAUUGAUAAUGUUAUUAUGUCAACAACAAAAACAUCAAAAGUUGAUUGUAACGUUUUG